UUUCAUCGUGUUCCACUAGAUUAACUGGCGACUCUACUCUGUGUUUCUCCAACAGAGUUAUCUUCUUCCCUCCUGCAUCUGCCAUCUUGUUACCCUCAAUGAAGCUCUGCGGAACAUGCUGCAUAGAAUAGGAAAUAAUAAGCUUGCUCAGUACACUUUACAAGGCCUCAAAACCCAAAACUCAAACCACGAGAGCUUGCUUUAACUUUCAAGUCUACAAUAUUUGAGACUGGCUGGUAGAAAGACAGAAAGUGGAAGCCUGGGUGAAGAAGUUGGAAGAAAUGUGGGUUUGAGAGAUUGAAGAACUAUAUCCUCCACUGUUGAGGUUGGAAAAAGCGCUUCUCCACAAAGCAAACGAAUAAUUUAUCAAGUCUUCAAUUUAUGACUUAAGUGUGCUUUUGGUAAUCCUCUAACUCUAC
rnacentral:lncRNA from 1 species